CAGCAGGAGGCAGAGCUUCAAGUGAGGAGAAUGUGGGAGUGGAAGAGGGACGAAGAAACGUACAGAUCAUAUGUGCACUGGGAACAGAGGCACCGCCGCGGCGUCUAGAGCAGCCUACGGGACUGUCAGAAGGGACACUCCAAGAAGGACAGAAGAAACUGCUGAGUUGGGGGUCUGCCUAUGGUGGCCUGCCGAUGUCUGUUUUAGAACUAAGCAGCUGGGUGGGAGUCCCACAGAGUCUGAGAGAAGGUCCCUGUCACCCUCACCAGGAAACGAGAUUUAACUUCAGCUUUCCACUCGGGGUCCAGGUAAGAACCGCAAAGACUGCCGGGCUGUUCUCUAGGGAUCCCUGUAUCCCUCCUAAGCUAUAGGAUUGCAUUCUCCAUGUUAAAGCCCAGGAAAUACAGUCCCAAGAGUCCAGAGACACAGGAGGGUGAGGAGGCUGGCUUUAUACUCCAGUCUCCUGAGUCUAAUGCCUGGCUCUUUCCCUGGCGUCCACACCCAUGGCUUUCCAGUGUUCCUUUCAAACGGGUGGAGCUAUUGCUAUUGUGUGUUUACUUAUUUAUUUAUUGUGGUACUGGGGAUUGGACAUAGGAUCUCAUGUAUACAGAGCUACAUAGCCCUCAUUAAUUUCUAAUCAUUCGUGUGUAUGUGUGUGUGUGUGUGUGUGUGUGUGUGUGUGUGUGUGUGUGUGUGUGUGUUAACACAACGUCCUAUGUAACCCAAGCUGGCUUCUAUCUAGCUCAGCUAUGGAACUAAGGAUGACCUCGAACAAGUCAUCUUCCUGCCUCAACCGAAUGCUGGAAUUGGACGCACACUAUACAGCCUCUUGCAUGUUAGAUAAGCACUCUGCCCACUGAGUGAUAUCCCAGGCCUCUUUAUUACUAAUUACUGCUUUGAUGACCAGGCUCCUCCCUCCAGGCUAUUUGCACAGUCGGUUCAGAAAAGACAAGUCCGGUGCGCCCCCGCGCGGUCACUAAAGGAAACACACGUCCUGCUGUGGCAGGCGCCUGAGUGGGAAAGGUGAGGUCUGUGUGGCGUCCCCUGUAGGCUGCGCUAGACAUCGCAGGCGAGUUAAUCUGUGGACGCCGCGGGUGACUCGCUCACUCACCUGGUGCCUUGUUAGACAAUCAGCUGAAUCAUGGUACACAACAGUGGGAGCAAGGAGGACAAAGGAAAGGCAGGGAAUAACAUCGUCUCUUGUAAACUACGAAAAGAGGUCAGUAUCCCCUCUCCCCCUUUAUUUCUGAGAUUUUGAUUGUUUGGUUUGGUUUUUUUGAGACAGGGUUUCUCUGUGUAGCCUUGGCUGUCCUGGAACUCUCUCUGUAGACCAGGCCUUCAACUCACAGAGAUCUGCCUGCCUCUACCUCUCAGGCACUGAGGCUAAAGCCGUGCACCACCCAGCUGUUUUUCCAUUUAACAUACACAUCUAACAUAGAAGCAAAACCUGAGCCAGGAAUGGUGGCACACGCCUUUAAUCUCAGCACUCAGGAGGCAGAGGCAGGCAGAUUUCUGAGUUCGAGGCCAGCCUGGUCUACAAAGUGAGUUCCAAGGACAAAAAAGAAAGAAAAAAGGAAGCAAAACCUGACCUCGAGGGAGAUUAAGUGAUCUAUCAAGAGAGUUGUCUGGUUGGUUGCUUUGUUUGUUUGUUUUUGUUUUUGUUUUUUUUUCGAGACAGGUUUCUCUGUAUCGCCCUGGCUGUCCUGGAACUCACACUGUAGACCAGGUGGCCUCGAACUCAGAAAUCUGCCUGCCUCUGCCUCCCAAGUGCUGGGAUCAAAGGCUUACGCCACCACCACCCAGCUCAAGAGAGUUGUCUGUAAUCUGUACAGAAAUCUGCCUGUGGCCAUGAUACAGUUCCUGGGGAGUAUGCUUGAGAGAGUCGAGUCUGUGGUUCCCGCCACCCUGACCAUAAGCCUCCCGGGGUCCAGGAUAAUGACACCUAAGUAGAAGACAGGGGUGGGGGAGGAGGUAUCGGAUGCUAGGUGCUAUCAAUCCUGCAAGUGUGACUCUUUUUUGUUUUCUUUUGUUGUUGUUGUUUUUGGUUUUGGUUUAUUUUUCGAGUGUUUUUCUUUUCUUUUUUUCUUUUCUUUUUUUUCUUUCUUUCUUUUUUUUUUUUUUUUUGUUUGUUUUUUUUUGGUUUUUCGAGACAGGGUUUCUCUGUAGAGCCCUGGCUGUCCUGGAACUCACUUUGUAGACCAGGCUGGCCUCGAACUCAGAAAUCUGCCUGCCUCUGCCUCCCGAGUGCUGGGAUUAAAGGCGUGCGCCACCACACCCGGCUGUGUUUUCUUUUUCUAAUAAUUAAUUUGUUUUUAUUUUAUGCGCAUUGGUGUUUCAUCUGCAUGUAUAUCUGUGUGAGGGUGUCAGGUUCCCUGGAACUGGAGUUGCAGUGGUGAGCUACCAUGUGGG
rnacentral:lncRNA from 1 species